UUAGAUCACCGAAGUCAAGCAUCAUUGGGCGCGGUCAGUACUUGGGUGGGUGACCACCUGGGAACACCGCGUGCCGUU
rnacentral:rRNA from 1 species